AGUGAACGCUGGCGGUAGGCCUAACACAUGCAAGUCGAACGGCAGCACAGAGGAGCUUGCUCCUUGGGUGGCGAGUGGCGGACGGGUGAGGAAUACAUCGGAAUCUACUCUGUCGUGGGGGAUAACGUAGGGAAACUUACGCUAAUACCGCAUACGACCUACGGGUGAAAGCAGGGGACCUUCGGGCCUUGCGCGAUUGAGUGAGCCGAUGUCGGAUUAGCUAGUUGGCGGGGUAAAGGCCCACCAAGGCGACGAUCCGUAGCUGGUCUGCGAGGAUGAUCGGCCAAACUGGAACGGAGACACGGUCCAGACUCCGACGGGAGGCAGAAGUGGGGAAUAUUGGACAAUGGGCGCAAGCCUGAUCCAGCCAUACCGCGUGGGUGAAGAAGGCCUUCGGGUUGUAAAGCCCUUUUGUUGGGAAAGAAAUCCAGCUGGCUAAUACCCGGUUGGGAUGACGGUACCCAAAGAAUAAGCACCGGCUAACUUCGUGCCAGCCGCCGCCGUAA
rnacentral:rRNA from 1 species